GAUAAUUUUGGAUGAGAAGAAUGAUGAAGUGCGCAAGAUUUCUAGCAGAGUAAAUGAUCUUGAUCUGCAACUAAUGAAGAAUUGAAAAGCUUGCCUACACUGAGGAGUACAUUGAUGGGCAAUUCUCUGGAAACCUUGGAGAGAUCCUGAUCAGAACCAAAUUGAAUUUUACAAGGUGGAAUAUUGAUUGGGUAAAGGUGGGAUGCUGACUGGGAAAGCGCUACUCCCUUGUAUGAAUUGCACUACUUCCUUGUAUGAACUAGCUGGUCCAUGAUUUUGUUUUCAUCCUUUUGGUUUUCUUGACAUCGGUUUGUUCAUUGGAGAGCACAUAGGUGUAAUGAUGCUUAAUGUUUCUACAUAUUAAUGUAU